AUGAAAACUUUGAAAGUGAAUUUGGACAUGUUCCUCCUGUGCUGCGUACCGUAUUAGAAAUCUUACCGCUGUUGCAUCCAACUGAACUCAUCUCUUCAAUGUGGCUUGUUCUUCUUAGGGAGCUUUUACAAUAUCUUCCAAGAUCAGAUUCUUCUUUGCAAAAAAAUGAUGAGGAGGUUAAGCAAGCCAGCAUUACUGAUAAUGUACCAGGCAAUAAUAUAAAGAGAAAGGAUGAAAUGCCCAAUGGUACAGCUUCCAUUUUCCCAAAAGAAGCUGAAGCCCCACCUCAGGGUUCUGGAUCAACGAUAACAGUAUUGGGUGGAAUUCCAAGUUAUGCAUUUGCAGAAAAGCUUGUUCCUGUGCUGAUAGAUCUUUUCCUACAUGCUGCAGCAGUUGAAAAAUAUAUUAUAUUUCCUGAAAUUAUUCAGAGUCUCGGAAGGUGUAUGACUACAAGAAGAGACAAUCCAGAUGGUUCACUUUGGAGAGUGGCUGUUGAAGGCUUCAACCGUGUUCUUGCU
rnacentral:misc_RNA from 1 species